CGGAGGGUGCGAGCGUUGUCCGGAAUCACUGGGCGUAAAGGGCGCGUAGGCGGCUUUUUAAGGGUGCGGUGAAAGCCCGGGGCUUAACCCCGGGUCGGCCGUGCCGACUGAAAAGCUCGAGCACUGUAGAGGCAGGUGGAAUUCCGGGUGUAGCGGUGGAAUGCGUAGAGAUCCGGAAGAACACCAGUGGCGAAGGCGGCCUGCUGGGCAGUUGCUGACGCUGAGGCGCGACAGCGUGGGGAGCAAACAGGAUUAGAUACCCUGGUAGUCCACGCCGUAAACGAUGGGCACUAGGUGCCUGGGGGAGCGACCCCCUGGGUGCCGGCGCUAACGCAUGAAGUGCCCCGCCUGGGGAGUACGGCCGCAAGGCUG
rnacentral:rRNA from 1 species